rnacentral:misc_RNA from 1 species
UCCGAUUUGUCACCGGCAGUCUCCCUAGAGUCCCCGGCAUUAUCCGCUGGCAACAUAGAACGAGGGUUGCGCUCGUUGCGGGACUUAACCCAACAUCUCACGACACGAGCUGACGACAACCAUGCACCACCUGUACAGGGCCCUUGCGGACCCGACAUCUCUGCCGGAUUUCCCUGUAUGUCAAGCCUUGGUAAGGUUCUUCGCGUUGCGUCGAAUUAAGCCACAUGCUCCGCCGCUUGUGCGGGCCCCCGUCAAUUCCUUUGAGUUUUAGCCUUGCGGCCGUACUCCCCAGGCGGGGCACUUAAUGCGUUAGCUCCGGCACGGGAGGAGUCGACACCUCCCACACCUAGUGCCCAUCGUUUACGGCGUGGACUAC